UACAGAGGUCCCAAGCGUUGUUCGGAUUCACUGGGCGUAAAGGGCUCGUAGGCGGCCAACUAAGUCAGACGUGAAAUCCCUCGGCUUAACCGGGGAACUGCGUCUGAUACUGGAUGGCUCGAGUUUGGGAGAGGGAUGCGGAAUUCCAGGUGUAGCGGUGAAAUGCGUAGAUAUCUGGAGGAACACCGGUGGCGAAGGCGGCAUCCUGGACCAACACUGACGCUGAGGAGCGAAAGCCAGGGGAGCAAACGGG
rnacentral:rRNA from 1 species